UCAUAAGAUGCCAGGCUCCCGAGUUGAUUUUUUUUCUUAAGAGGCUACUGCAUUAAAACAUAUGGCAGAGAGGAUUUUUUUUUUUUUACUUGGUUCUCAACAGGGAGAAAUGGGAGCCCAAGGCCCACCGGGGUUUCCAGGAAAAGCUGGUCCCAAGGUGAGUGCUGUUUGCUUCCACCCUGGACCCUCCCAGAGAAGCACCCCCCAGGCGUUUGCUGGGCUGGUCAAGGGAAAAUGUCAAAUCUUUGCUACUGGCAUCAAGGAUGUAAACUGGGGAGAGGGGAGCAGUGGGGGCCGCGGCGUGGGGCUGUGAUGGUUCUCUCCUUCCCCAGGCCCUGCCAGGUCCCCCUGGUCCACGUGGAGCUCCCGGCUCCCAGGGCAGAGCAGGAGACCCGGGUCCUCGAGGGCUUCCAGGGCUGCCUGGUGUUCCUGGCCCACGGGGGCUGGAUGGCAUCCCUGGAAAGCCUGGCUCAGCAGGAGAAAUGGGGGCUCCCGGAGCGGCUGGUGCUACUGGCCCACCUGGGUACCCGGUGAGUGCAGAUAUGUGGUUCCUUCAAUCAGUGCCCAACACAACCUCCUGCCUCAGCUGGUAGGACAAGGAGCAAGAUUUUGCU
rnacentral:lncRNA from 1 species